CAGUAGCCGCGGUAAAACAGAGGGUGCAAGCGUUAAUCGGAAUUACUGGGCGUAAAGCGUGCGUAGGCGGUGAGUUAAGUCUGCUGUGAAAUCCCCGGGCUCAACCUGGGAAUGGCAGUGGAUACUGGCUCGCUAGAGUGUGUCAGAGGAUGGUGGAAUUCCCGGUGUAGCGGUGAAAUGCGUAGAGAUCGGGAGGAACAUCAGUGGCGAAGGCGGCCAUCUGGGACAACACUGACGCUGAGGCACGAAAGCGUGGGGAGCAAACAGGAUUAGAUACCCCGGUAGUCCCUGUCUCUUAUAC
rnacentral:rRNA from 1 species